rnacentral:rRNA from 1 species
GAUGAACGCUAGCUACAGGCUUAACACAUGCAAGUCGAGGGACCGGCGCACGGGUGAGUAACACGUAUCCAACCUGCCCCUUACUCGGGGAUAGCGUUUCGACAGAAAGAUUAAUACUCGAAAUAAAGGAUGGGGAUGCGUUCCAUUAGGUUGUUGGGGAGGUCACGGCUAACCAAGCCUUGGAUGGAUAGGGGUUCUGAGAGGAAGGCCCCCCAGAGUGGAACUGAGACACGUGCCACACUCCUACGGGAGGCAGCAGUGAGGAAUAGUGGUGAAUGGACGCUUGCCUGAGCCAGCCAAGUAGCGUGAAGGAUGAAGGCGGAUGGGUCGUAAACUUCUUUUAUAUAAGAAUAUGUAUUAUAUUAAUAAGGAUCGGCUAACUCCGUGCCAGCAGCCGCGGUAAUAC